GAUGAAGAACGCAGCGAAAUGCGAUAAGUAGUGUGAAUUACAGAAUUCAGUGAAUCAUCGAAUCUUUGAACGCACAUUGCGCCUUCUAGUAUUCUGGGAGGCAUGCCUGUUUGAGCGUCAUUAAGCCUCUCUCAAGUAUGAUUACUUGGAUGUGAAGGAAGAGUACCUUAAACUUAAGGAGUGUUCUCCUUUGAAAUUGAUUAGCAGAUGGUAAUGUUAUUAAAUCCCUGAUGUUGUAAGAAAUAACAGUGGUUUUGUAGACUAUUAUCUAGCUUUAAAUUAUAAUUUUUAUUAUGGUUGACCUCAAAUCAGGUAAGGAUACCCGCUGAACUUAAGCAUAUCAAUAAGCGGAGGA
rnacentral:misc_RNA from 1 species